GGAUGUGAGGGCGAUCUGGCUGCGACAUCUGUCACUCCAUUGAUCGCCAGGGUUGAUUCGGCUGAUCUGGCUGGCUAGGCGGGUGUCCCCUCCUCCCUCACCGCUCCAUGUGCGUCCCUCCCGAAGCUGCGCGCUCAGUGGAAGAGGACGACCUUCCCCAUAGAGGCGUACCGUUCUUCCGUCAAGGGUAGACGAGUAGCUGCGCUCCCCUGCUAGAACAAGCUCCCAAGAAUAUAACUGAUUACCUUUUGCUUUUUGCUAAGUGUCGCUGCGGUCUUUGUUUUAUAUUUCUGAUCCUG
rnacentral:snRNA from 1 species